rnacentral:rRNA from 1 species
UACGUAGGGGGCAAGCGUUGUCCGGAAUCAUUGGGCGUAAAGAGCGUGUAGGCGGCCCGAUAAGUCCGCUGUGAAAGUCCAGGGCUCAACCCUGGGAUGCCGGUGGAUACUGUCGGGCUCGAGUCCGGAAGAGGAGUGUGGAAUUCCUGGUGUAGCGGUGAAAUGCGCAGAUAUCAGGAGGAACACCGGUGGCGAAGGCGGAUCUCUGGGCCUGUCCUGACGCUCAGGCGCGAAAGCUAGGGGAGCAAACAGG